GCGGGUGUGGCUCAGCUGGUAGAGCGUCUCCUUCCCAAGGAGAAGGUCGCGGGUUCAAGCCCCGUCACCCGCUCCA
rnacentral:tRNA from 1 species